rnacentral:rRNA from 1 species
GACGGAGGGUGCAAGCGUUGUUCGGAAUUACUGGGCGUAAAGCGCGGGCAGGUGGCCUUUUAAGUCCUUUGUGAAAUUCCGGAGCUCAACUCCGGAUGUGCAUAGGAUACUGGAAGGCUAGAGACUGGUAGAGGCGAGCGGAAUUCCUGGUGUAGAGGUGAAAUUCGUAGAUAUCGGGAGGAACACCAGUGGCGAAGGCGGCUCUCUGGGCAGAUACUGACGCUGAGACGCGAAAGCGUGGGUAGCAAACAGG